AGAGUUUGAUCCUGGCUCAGGAUGAACGCUAGCGAUAGGCCUAACACAUGCAAGUCGAGGGGCAGCAUAGGGUAGCAAUACUUUGAUGGCGACCGGCGCACGGGUGAGUAACGCGUAUGCAACCUACCUAUAACAGGGGCAUAACCCGGAGAAAUUCGGACUAAUACCGCAUAAAACAGGGGCUCCGCAUGGAGAUAUUUGUUAAAGAUUUAUCGGUUAUAGAUGGGCAUGCGUUCCAUUAGCCAGUUGGUGAGGUAACGGCUCACCAAAGCAACGAUGGAUAGGGGAACUGAGAGGUUUGUCCCCCACACUGGAACUGAGACACGGACCAGACUCCUACGGGAGGCAGCAGUGAGGAAUAUUGGUCAAUGGGCGAGAGCCUGAACCAGCCAAAUCGCGUGAAGGAAGACUGCCUUAUGGGUUGUAAACUUCUUUUAUACAGGAAUAAAAAGAGUUACGUGUAACUUAUUGCAUGUACUGUAUGAAUAAGCAUCGGCUAACUCCGUGCCAGCAGCCGCGGUAAUACGGAGGAUGCGAGCGUUAUCCGGAUUUAUUGGGUUUAAAGGGUGCGCAGGCGGGAACUUAAGUCAGCGGUGAAAUCUCGACGCUUAACGUCGAAACUGCCGUUGAAACUGGGUUUCUUGAGUAUAGAUGAAGUAGGCGGAAUUCGUUGUGUAGCGGUGACAUGCUUAGAUAUAACGAGGAACUCCGAUUGCGUAGGCAGCUUACUAAGCUAUAACUGACGCUCAAGCACGAAAGCGUGGGGAUCAAACAGGAUUAGAUACCCUGGUAGUCCACGCCGUAAACGAUGAUUACUAGUUGUAUGCGAUAUACGGUAUGUGACUAAGCGAAAGCGAUAAGUAAUCCACCUGGGGAGUACGCCGGCAACGGUGAAACUCAAAGGAAUUGACGG
rnacentral:rRNA from 1 species